rnacentral:lncRNA from 1 species
ACGGAUGUGGGAGUGCCGAAGCUACCUCCGGUGAAAGCCCCUGGGCCCCGGUUUUCUCUUCCAUGAGCUGGUCUCUGUACCACGAAUCAAUAUGGGCAUCAAUUUUCUCUGUAUCUUCAGUUCGUCUCUCUCUCUCUCUCUCUCCUUUAGGAUUAUUAUCUCAAAUGGCAAUUAAGCUGAGAUCUUUCUUUCUAUUAUAUUAGGCUUGUCACGCAUGGUGCUUUUCUUUGGAUUCAUGCGCCUCUCCUCUCUGCUCAUUUUCGAUUGGUGACGCAUAUAAUACAUGCGGCAGGUCGCUUUCUUUAUUUCUCUAGGGUAAACAUGAACAUCUCAUCCUCUUUUUGUUGGCUUGUUGAUCUUGUAAUGCAUGAAUGUAUCUAAAUUGGUUGCAUUUGAUAUAAUAGAGCAGAGUGGGACUAUUAAUUGGCAGGCACAAGACUUGGUUCGUAAGCCAGGGAUAGCUCGUG